rnacentral:rRNA from 1 species
UACGUAGGGUGCGAGCGUUAAUCGGAAUUACUGGGCGUAAAGCGUGCGCAGGCGGUUUUUUAAGCCAGAUGUGAAAUCCCCGGGCUUAACCUGGGAAUGGCAUUUGGGACUGCAAGGCUUGAGUGCGGCAGAGGAGACUGGAAUUCCUGGUGUAGCGGUGAAAUGCGUAGAUAUUGGGAAGAACACCUGAGGCGAAGGCGGGUUGCUGGGCCGACACUGACGCUGAGGCGCGAAAGCCAGGGGAGCGAACGGG